GCUAAGAAUAUUCCGCAAUGGACGAAAGUCUGACGGAGCGACGCCGCGUGGAUGAGGAAGGCCGAAAGGUUGUAAAGUCCUUUUGUCGAUGAAGAAUAAGUGGUGGAGGGAAUGCCAUCAUGAUGACGUUAGUCGGCGAAUAAGCCCCGGCUAACUUCGUGCCAGCAGCCGCGGUAAUACGAAGGGGGCAAGCGUUAUUCGGAAUGACUGGGCGUAAAGGGCGUGUAGGUGGAUUUGUACGUUUGAUGUGAAAGUCCUGGGCUUAACCUAGGGAUUGCAUUGAAUACGGCAAGUCUAGAGCGUGAGAGGGGAAAACGGAAUUGCGGGUGUAGAGGUGAAAUUCGUAGAUAUCCGCAGGAACACCAAUGGCGAAGGCAGUUUUCUGGCUCAUGGCUGACACUGAGGCGCGAAAGCGUGGGGAGCAAACAGGAUUAGAAACCCGGGUAGUCC
rnacentral:rRNA from 1 species